rnacentral:lncRNA from 1 species
UGAAAAUUAACACCCUCAUCCCUGGUUUGACAUCUGGAAACGGGGAAGCCGAGCCUACUUCAUUAAAGAAGAACAGAUCAUUUCUCCCCGGAUAAUCCCAACAUCCCCCUCGUUCUUUUCAGUUCUGGAAUAUUCCCCUCAAUCAUCCUCCCCAGUGUGGAACUGGAAGAACUGGAAGCACCACAGAUUGGGACACUGAGGAGCAGAAACUUUCCCCGGCAUGGGAGGGUUUUGCUUUUGUUCUCAAGGAGUGCAGCAGCCAGCGUCAACACUUUUCUGCACGAAAUGUAUGUUAUAUCUAUGUCUAUCUACAC